rnacentral:rRNA from 1 species
UACGUAGGGGGCAAGCGUUGUCCGGAUUUAUUGGGCGUAAAGAGCGUGUAGGCGGCCAGGUAGGUCCGUUGUGAAAACUCGAGGCUCAACCUCGAGACGUCGGCGGAAACCCUCUGGCUAGAGUCCGGAAGAGGAGAGUGGAAUUCCUGGUGUAGCGGUGAAAUGCGCAGAUAUCAGGAAGAACACCCGUGGCGAAGGCGGCUCUCUGGGACGGUACUGACGCUGAGACGCGAAGGCGUGGGGAGCAAACAGG